rnacentral:rRNA from 1 species
AAAGCGUGCGCAGGCGGUUUUGUAAGACUGUCGUGAAAUCCCCGGGCUCAACCUGGGAAUGGCGAUGGUGACUGCAAGGCUAGAGUUUGGCAGAGGGGGGUAGAAUUCCACGUGUAGCAGUGAAAUGCGUAGAUAUGUGGAGGAACACCGAUGGCGAAGGCAGCCCCCUGGGUCAAAACUGACGCUCAUGCACGAAAGCGUGGGGAGCAAACAGGAUUAGAUACCCCUGU